CGUGCACGAGGGAUUUAUGCGCGCGCAGCACGCACCGCGCCGUUUCGUCGAUGGACAAAUUAUUAACCGUUCGUUUUUUACGACUUGGGAACAGAAUUAUUAAAGUAUAUCGUGUUUGAAACAUCGAUUGAUGUUAUAAAAGUUACAAUGUAUUCGGAAGUGCAUGAAUCAAGAUGCUAUUGUACAAAAAAAUACGGGAAACUCGCACGAUACAAUAUGAUGAAGAUCUAAAUAAUUCUCGCAUUUUGAUGCACUCAAUUACACACUGGAUUACAAAAAGAAUAACAAUUUUUCCCUGUCACGUCACCACAAAAUUCGUUGAUUUCGGAAUCCUGACGACAUCUUUACCUGACAGUAUUAGAAGGUUCAACUGCAAUCCAAUGCUGCCCGGUAAGAUGUGAACAGAUACUCCGUCCGAUGUUUUUAGCUUUAAUCCACAUCCUCGUCCCUUGCCCUUUUACGCAUCUUUCGUUGUCCAUUCGUCCGUGCUGGGUUUCGUUCUCUUUUUUAGGCUCUUCCCUCUCUUUCUUAGAAACGAUCGUGAACCAGCGUUUCCCGUUACCAAGUGCCGUGUACGCACUUUCGAACCUUCCAACGGUCACUGGUGCGUCCGUAAAAAAGUAAUCUCCAGUCACACGUGACAAAAAAGUGGUCUGCCCAGAAGGUGCCACUCUUUCAACGACUUUAAAAGGAUCAAGCACAAAAGUUGUAACACAUUUCGCGUUUCAGGAGAUGGGCGUAAAAAAUGAAGCAGCAAGGUGCAAACAAGUGUACAGAUAAGAAAAAGAGAAAACGUGCAGAUAUCCACAAAAGAAGCAGUCGCGAGGUUCUUUUGUGAAAGCGAUUAGUCAUUUACGAUUGGGCUGUUAGCGAACAUUUCACAAAGUGCAAGGACAAUGGGCAAUGAGGAUACGUAAGCCGCAGCAAUUUAUGGAACACAAUGCUCGAGUAUUAUAUUACUUUUCUCGUCUUGUUUUCUCCCUAGUAAUUGUUGAUACUUUUUAGGCAAGGAUUGAACUAUAUUAAACAAGGAGGUGCGAAGGAAUAGAAGAAGCAACAUAACCUCAAAGUGUAAAUAGUCAACUUAUGACAAAUUUUCUGAAUUUACUCUAAGGAAGUCUACGUUGUACAGAUUCGUUCGCCAAGUCCCAUUACCACGAGAGAUAGGAUCGUUCGGAUAGAAGGCGAGCAGGGUGGAGAUGAGGGGGUUGCCUUCGAUGGUAGGAGGGGCAAGCAUGUUUUAUGUAAUCACCAACCAACUCUGCGGGGCUCGGUAUUAAUACUGGCAAUAAAUAAACGCCGUCAGGGAGACUCGAUCCUAAAGGCAUCUCGCUGUGCUUCAUCUGCCUCUUAACCUCUCUUUCUCUCUCCACCCUCUUGCCGUACACGCAUAGGCGUCGCAACAUUUUUUUACAAGAAACUUCAAAUACAAAAUUCUCUACAAAACCACAUUUACAUAUAUUACGAAAGAUUGUGUCAUUAGAAAUAACAAGAAGUUCUGUUUAAUUAUAAUGGUAUUCAUUAUACUGAAGUGCGCCUCAGAUGCUUUUAAAUAUUAUGCCCAAAUAAUAUGCGAGUUAACGUGCAGGUGUCGUCACGGACAAAAUCGAGGUCAAACUACCAUACUCGGCUAGUAUCACAUAUUUUAAUACUUUCGAUAUGCCGGUGAAAUCCGAUUUUACUCGAGAGCUUAACGGCACAACGAAACACUUGUAUGCCGGACCGUCGCGGCAGAAACCGUCAAGCCGCGUUCUCAUCGGAAUCAUUACCUCUUAAAUUAUGCAUGUAAAUUUUAAUCCACUUUCGUACUUCUCCUGAAUAAUGCAAUAAUAUAAAUAAUAUUUAAGCA
rnacentral:lncRNA from 1 species